rnacentral:rRNA from 1 species
CGCGUAGGCGGUUUGAUAAGUCAGAUGUGAAAGCCCACGGCUCAACCGUGGAAGUGCAUUUGAUACUGUUAGACUUGAGUACCAGAGGGGAAAGUGGAAUUCCCGGUGUAGAGGUGAAAUUCGUAGAUAUCGGGAGGAAUACCGGUGGCGAAGGCGACUUUCUGGCUGGAUACUGACGCUGAGGCGCGAAAGCGUGGGGAGCAAACAG